ACGAACGCUGGCGGCGUGCUUAACACAUGCAAGUCGAACGGGGUGUUUAUUUCGGUAAACACCAAGUGGCGAACGGGUGAGUAACGCGUAAGCAAUCUACCUUCAAGAUGGGGACAACACUUCGAAAGGGGUGCUAAUACCGAAUGAAUGUAAGAGUAUCGCAUGAGACACUUACUAAAGGAGGCCUCUGAAAAUGCUUCCGCUUGAAGAUGAGCUUGCGUCUGAUUAGCUAGUUGGUGAGGGUAAAGGCCCACCAAGGCGACGAUCAGUAGCCGGUCUGAGAGGAUGAACGGCCACAUUGGGACUGAGACACGGCCCAGACUCCUACGGGAGGCAGCAGUGGGGAAUCUUCCGCAAUGGGCGAAAGCCUGACGGAGCAACGCCGCGUGAACGAUGAAGGUCUUAGGAUCGUAAAGUUCUGUUGUUAGGGACGAAGGGUAAGAAUCAUAAUAAGGUUUUUAUUUGACGGUACCUAACGAGGAAGCCACGGCUAACUACGUGCCAGCAGCCGCGGUAAUACGUAGGCGGCAAGCGUUGUCCGGAAUUAUUGGGCGUAAAGGGAGCGCAGGCGGGAAACUAAGCGGAUCUUAAAAGUGCGGGGCUCAACCCCGUGAUGGGGUCCGAACUGGUUUUCUUGAGUGCAGGAGAGGAAAGCGGAAUUCCCAGUGUAGCGGUGAAAUGCGUAGAUAUUGGGAAGAACACCAGUGGCGAAGGCGGCUUUCUGGACUGUAACUGACGCUGAGGCUCGAAAGCUAGGGUAGCGAACGGGAUUAGAUACCCCGGUAGUCCUAGCCGUAAACGAUGGAUACUAGGUGUGGGAGGUAUCGACUCCUUCCGUGCCGGAGUUAACGCAAUAAGUAUCCCGCCUGGGGAGUUCGGCCGCAAGGUUGAAACUCAAAGGAAUUGACGGGGGCCCGCACAAGCGGUGGAGUAUGUGGUUUAAUUCGACGCAACGCGAAGAACCUUACCAGGUCUUGACAUCCCGAUGACCGGCCCGUAACGGGGCCUUCUCUUCGGAGCAUUGGAGACAGGUGGUGCAUGGUUGUCGUCAGCUCGUGUCGUGAGAUGUUGGGUUAAGUCCCGCAACGAGCGCAACCCCUAUACUAUGUUGCCAGCAUUACGGAUGGGAACUCAUAGUAGACUGCCGCGGACAACGCGGAGGAAGGCGGGGAUGACGUCAAGUCAUCAUGCCCCUUACGUCUUGGGCUACACACGUACUACAAUGGGAUGAACAGAGGGAAGCGAAAUCGCGAGGUGGAGCGGAUCCCUAAAAGCAUCUCUCAGUUCGGAUUGUAGGCUGAAACUCGCCUACAUGAAGUCGGAAUCGCUAGUAAUCGCAGGUCAGCAUACUGCGGUGAAUACGUUCCCGGGCCUUGUACACACCGCCCGUCACACCACGAAAGUCAUUCACACCCGAAGCCGGCUAAGGGCCUAUGGUACCGACCGUCUAAGGUGGGGGCGAUGAUUGGGGUG
rnacentral:rRNA from 1 species